GCUAAGUAGGGGCAAGUAGCGGGGGGAAAACGGGGGGGGAAAGCGUGUUGCGGAAUGAGUGGGCGGAAAGAGCGCGUAGGCGGGUUGUCACGUCGGUUGUGAAAGCCCGGGGCUUAACCCCGGGUCUGCAGUCGAUACGGGCAGGCUAGAGUGUGGUAGGGGAGAUCGGAAUUCCUGGUGUAGCGGCGAAAUGCGCAGAUAUCAGGAGGAACACCGGUGGCGAAGGCGGAUCUCUGGGCCAUUACUGACGCUGAGGAGCGAAAGCGUGGGGAGCGAACAGGAUUAGAUACCCUAGUAGUC
rnacentral:rRNA from 1 species